GAAGAAGAAGAAGAAGAAGAAGAAGAAGACGGUCAGACCGAAGUAAUCAAUACACGGUCCCGAAACUUCCUUUUCGAGUAUGAGGUCUCUGUGGAACAAAAGUGGGCGUUUCUUGUGGGUGUUUAUAUAUCAUGCAAUGAAGAUGAUCCCCUUCACCUGACCCCACCCCUAAACCCUAUCCACACUCUGACGUGGGCAAAUCAACGCUCUCAAAAACGCCCCUCUGUUUAUGGCCUCGCCCAUCAAUCAUUAAUGUUCUGCAGAGACCUAGGGCACGUUCAAGCUCAAACUGGUGCGCAACGUUUUGCUAUGGUUAUACUCACAAUAAAAAAAUAAUGUUGUAUAGAUCAUAACACAGUCUCGGAGGUAAGAAGUGGAUUAUCCUUCACCUGAAAUGUUUGUCUUUUCAUCCUGAAAUAUGAGGCAAUUUGGAUCACAAUAAUUAGAAGUUUCCACAAAUUCCUUCACUUGAUUGUGGUGUUCUCUUUUAUUCUGGACAGCAGUGACUGUAACAUCGAGCGUAUUUUGCAGUUUUAAACACGUAUUUAUACCGAUUUCAUCAGGCUCCGAAAAUUCUUCAAAAAGAACACAAAGAAUGGCCUUCUCAGCUGCCAUAGUUGCAACUCAUGCGUCAUCAGAACAGGGUGUUCAACGCACCACCAUGUCCGUUUAAAAAACGUUUUGCAAACCGUUUUCCUCGCGUCUCAGCUCCACCCCCCGUUGGAUGUGAGUGAAGAAUGCAAGAAAAGAAAACGAGGACAGAGGAAUCAAAGGAAAUGUUAUUUGUAUUUUAUUUUUAUUUAUUUAAUUUUUUUUUUCUUGGACAGAUAAGCUUUUUUUAUUGCAGAGAACGGGAAGACAGACGAAUAAGCAUAUAGCACAUAAACAAAAAUAAAAAAGGAGACAAAGCAAUAAUUAAAAAAAUAAAGAGAAUAAAAUAAAAAUAAGAGGGCCAUCAUCUAACAUAUAUAGACUAUGAAGAGAUCAAAGGCAGAGCAAAUCCUAACAGUCACUUUCUUAUUAGAUACUGAAAUACAUAAUUUUCCAUUUCUUUUAAGAAGACAGGUAAACAGUUGGAAAAUUUGCAUUUGUGAAUGUAAAAUAUGCUUAGGAAAAAAAUUAAGUUGAUAACAAAACAUAUUUCCGUUUGUGGGGUCUGAGUCAUAAUACCCAAAUUAUAAUGUCUCAUUUAUUUGGUACUUAAACUCUGGAACAAUUUUCCUAGCAUUGUUCGGGAAGCAGACACACUCUGUCAGUUUAAAUCUAGACUAAAAACGCAUCUCUUUAACCUGGCAUACACAUAACACCAGAUGUAAUCAUUACAUCAGAAGAAGAAUGGCAUCUACGCUAAUAUUAGUCUCUCUGUUUAUCCCGAGGUUUACCGUAGUCAGCCGGAUCCAGGCCGUAUCCAGGUGAGAUUGAGGACCUGCGCAUUGACACGACCACAACGCAGCCCUGAAGUCCACUGUGAAGGCCUCAUCGACAUGAAAGCCAGUGGCACAGUUCCUCAACAAACCGUCUGUACCGCCGUGAUGAAUACGAUCUUCAACUGGAUGGAACUGGAAUAAAUACUUUGACUGUUGCGAUCACAUCAGACUUAUGAUAGCUGCCUGAAUCAUAACAAAGCACUGUUCACCAGAGGAGAACUGGCCCCCCGCCUAAGCCUGGUUUCUCCCAAGGUUUUUUUCUCCAUUUUUAACACCUGUUUGCCACCUGAUGUCACCUGUUGAAGUUUGGGUUCUUUGCCGCUGUCGCCUUUGGCUUGCUUAGUUGGGGACACUUGACAUUUGAUAUUCAACAGUAUUUUGAUCUGCCUGCAUUGACACCAUUGUAUGCGAACUGAACUGAGCUGGAUGAUGACAUCACUGUUUACUCCAGUACUGAAUUUACUUAAGAUGGAUACUGACACCAUUUUCUUUAAGAGCUGCUGUGCAGCCAAAAUUAUAUACCAGUUAUCACUGUAAAGCUGCUUUGACACAAUCUGCAUUGUAAAAAGCGCUAUAUAAAUAAAGGUGACUUGACUUGA